CCUGCAAGUCGAACGGAAACAUGUCUAGCUUGCUAGAUGAUGUCGAGUGGCGGACGGGUGAGUAAUGCUUGGGAACUUGCCUUUGCGAGGGGGAUAACAGUUGGAAACGACUGCUAAUACCGCAUAAUGUCUUCGGACCAAACGGGGCUUCGGCUCCGGCGCAAAGAGAGGCCCAAGUGAGAUUAGCUAGUUGGUGAGGUAAAGGCUCACCAAGGCAACGAUCUCUAGCUGUUCUGAGAGGAAGAUCAGCCACACUGGGACUGAGACACGGCCCAGACUCCUACGGGAGGCAGCAGUGGGGAAUAUUGCACAAUGGGGGAAACCCUGAUGCAGCCAUGCCGCGUGUGUGAAGAAGGCCUUCGGGUUGUAAAGCACUUUCAGUUGUGAGGAAAAGUUAGUAGUUAAUACCUGCUAGCCGUGACGUUAACAACAGAAGAAGCACCGGCUAACUCCGUGCCAGCAGCCGCGGUAAUACGGAGGGUGCGAGCGUUAAUCGGAAUUACUGGGCGUAAAGCGCACGCAGGCGGUUUGUUAAGCUAGAUGUGAAAGCCCCGGGCUCAACCUGGGACGGUCAUUUAGAACUGGCAGACUAGAGUCUUGGAGAGGGGAGUGGAAUUCCAGGUGUAGCGGUGAAAUGCGUAGAUAUCUGGAGGAACAUCAGUGGCGAAGGCGACUCCCUGGCCAAAGACUGACGCUCAUGUGCGAAAGUGUGGGUAGCGAACAGGAUUAGAUACCCUGGUAGUCCACACCGUAAACGCUGUCUACUAGCUGUUUGUGACUUUAAGUCGUGAGUAGCGAAGCUAACGCGAUAAGUAGACCGCCUGGGGAGUACGGCCGCAAGGUUAAAACUCAAAUGAAUUGACGGGGGCCCGCACAAGCGGUGGAGCAUGUGGUUUAAUUCGAUGCAACGCGAAGAACCUUACCUACACUUGACAUGUUGAGAAUUACCA
rnacentral:rRNA from 1 species